rnacentral:rRNA from 1 species
AUUCCAGCUCCAAUAGCGUAUAUUUAAGUUGUUGCAGUUAAAAAGCUCGUAGUUGGAUUUCGGAUGGGAUUUGCCGGUCCGUCUUUGAGAUGUGUACUGGUAAGUCCUAUCUUGUUGUCGGGGACUAGCUCCUGGGCUUCACUGUCCGGGACUAGGAGCCGACGAAGUUACUUUGAGUAAAUUAGAGUGUUCAAAGCAAGCCUACGCUCUGAAUAUAUUAGCAUGGAAUAACACGAUAGGACUCUGGCUCUAUUUUGUUGGUUUCUAGCGCCAAAGUAAUGAUUGAUAGGGAUAGUUGGGGGUGCUAGUAUUUACCGGCCAGAGGUGAAAUUCUUGGAUUCGGUAAAGACUAACUUAUGCGAAAGCAUUCACCAAGGAUGUCUUCAUU